GAGUUUGAUCUUGGCUCAGAUUGAACGCUGGCGGAAUGCUUUACACAUGCAAGUCGAGCGGCAGCGCGGGGCAACCUGGCGGCGAGCGGCGAACGGGUGAGUAAUGCAUCGGAACAUGUCCAUGUCGUGGGGGAUAGCCCGGCGAAAGCCGGAUUAAUACCGCAUACGCCCGAGAGGGGAAAGUGGGGGACCGCAAGGCCUCACGCGAUUGGGUUGGCCGAUGUCCGAUUAGCUAGUUGGCGGGGUAAAGGCCCACCAAGGCGAUGAUCGGUAGCUGGUCUGAGAGGAUGAUCAGCCACACUGGGACUGAGACACGGCCCAGACUCCUACGGGAGGCAGCAGUGGGGAAUUUUGGACAAUGGGGGAAACCCUGAUCCAGCCAUUCCGCGUGAGUGAAGAAGGCCU
rnacentral:rRNA from 1 species